AUUUCCUGUCUUAUAAUACCUUUGUCUGGUUUUUGAAUUCUGGUUAUAACAAUCUCAUAAAAUAUUUUAGGAAAUGACAGUUCCUCCUCUAGUUUAUGAGUUUAUACAGAAUAGAUGUUACUUCUUUCUUACGUACUAGAUGGAAUUUACUAGUGAAAUUGUUUGAGCCUGGAAUUUUCUUUGUAAGAAGUUUAAUUAUGAAUUAAUAUCUUUAACAAAUAUAGGGUGAUUUAAAUUUUCUAUUUUUGCUUGGGUUUAUUUUGGUAAUGUGUGUCUUUCGAGGAAUUCAUCCAUUUUAUCUAAGCUGUCGAAUGCAUCAGCGUGAAGUUGUUCCUGUCAUCACUCAUUACCCUUUCUGUGUCUGCAGGACCUGUUGUGAUGCCCCUUCCUGGUUCCUGACAUUGAUGAUUUGUCCUUCCUUUUCUUGCACCAUCAACCAUCUAAAGGACAUCUCCCCCUUCCGAGGAGCUAUCCUCUCCCCCAGAGAGGUACACAGGAGAACAAACUAUGGAACAAACCACAAGGAAACGGAAGCUUGAGGAGGUGAAGUCCAAGGUCAAAAUCAUAGUGAGUGGCAGAGAAAAUGCCAGGGUCAUGGAGCCGAUGCUUUGGGACUGGUGAUUUGUUUCUCGAAUGAAUUCUUUCUUUUCCACAAAAGGUGGGUGUGAUUAAACACUGAGGUCUUCUCCAUUUGAUAUUUAAAUUUACUUGUAGAAGAUUUUCCCCACAGCCUUUCAGAAACCUGCACUAUGGACAGUGAAGGGAACUUGUGUCCACAAAACAGGCGUCCCUGGAAGCCUGGAGAGAGGAUAGGCUGCUGGAUGUGCCUCAGGACACACAGGCACCACCCGGCGAGGUGGGGGUGACGUGAAUUCGAGUUUCCAGCCCUUCUCAGUGAUCCUUAGAAAAACCAGACGACAUGCCUCAAAGCAAGGAAAAAUAAAACAAGCAAGCAGUGUCUCAGCCCCUGGGCCCACACAUAACCGCCAAACACUUUUCUGUAAAAUAAAACUUGAAUACGUUAAAAGUGUCUGGAAAACACUCCACGGGGAGCCUCCGAAGGAUCCAAAGUGCAUGGUGCUUGCUGGCCGGGGUUGUGCUUGCCCCAGAAAGGCAGAGCUUAUUUGCACGCCUAUUUUAUACCUCUAGGGGUCGUGGUGGCCUUGGGGGACCCGGCAGGUCCUCUUCUUUUUAAAACUGAAGUGAAAUUCACACAACACAAAAUUAACCCUUUUAGAGUGAGCAACUCAAUGGCAUUUAUCACACUCGCAAUGGGCAGCUGCCACCUCUGGCUUCAGGACAUCUUCAUCACCCUGCAAGGAAACCCGGUACCCAUGAGCAGCCGUUCCCGUUCCCCUCUCCCAGCCCGAGGCAGCAGCUAACCCGGCUCCUGUCGCUGUGAAAUGAUCGGUUCUGGGUAUUACAUGUAAAAGGAAUUGUCCGUUCUGUGGUCCUCUGUGUCUGGCGACCCCACUGAGCACUGGGUCUCUAGGUUCACCCGUGCGGUUCCCCACGUCAGUGCCGCGUCCCUUGCUGUGACUGAAACAAAUGAAGGUCCCAUUAUCCAUUCAGCCGUCAAGGAGAGGUCUGGGCUGCUU
ensembl:lncRNA